UACGAAGGGGGCUAGCGUUGCUCGGAAUCACUGGGCGUAAAGCGCACGUAGGCGGCUUCUAAGUCAGGGGUGAAAUCCUGGAGCUCAACUCCAGAACUGCCUUUGAUACUGAGGAUCUUGAGUUCGGGAGAGGUGAGUGGAACUGCGAGUGUAGAGGUGAAAUUCGUAGAUAUUCGCAAGAACACUAGUGGCGAAGGCAGCCCCCUGGUCAAGACUGACGCUCAUGCACGAAAGCGUGGGGAGCAACAGG
rnacentral:rRNA from 1 species